ACUGCUGUUGUAAAAUGUACUUGUUAGGAAGUUGUGGUCCUGUGUGAAACACUGUGAAACUUGUUUAAACAUUAUUACGUUAAAAUGAUCGUGUCAUAGCGCAAUGUAGCGUUAGCAUUAGUUAUUCCUCAUUUUGGGCUUUGUUGUACUGCAGCCUUUAGAAUAUCCCGUAAAUACCAGAACAGAUUUGAAUGAGUUAAACUAUUUUGUUCAUUAUUCGUUUAUUUCUUUCAUAUUUUUCAUCAUUUGCUAAAGUUUUCAUGUUUAAUGUUAUUUAAAAGUUAAAUUAAAUACAAAAAUAACAGUAAUAAGCAUUAACCAACAUUUAAUUAACACAGUUAUCGUCUCACUUUAGUAACACAAGACAGAAGACCAUAAACAACUUCUCCAAUCUGGGCAGCAGCAAGCAGGUCCAGUCCGGAGAUCCUGCCGAGAACCGGCUGGAAAACCAAGAUGUGAUUCCAGACAUCUGGUCAUCACUGCUGUGUGAAGACCAGUGAAGAGAAGAAGUUACAAGUUGGUCUUAGAUAAAUAAGUGUUAUAACAAAUCAUUUUGUUUGUAAGAGUACAUUAGUUGAACUUGUAGUAGUGUGUAACAGUAGCAUCAAAAUCAUAUCAGGGUAGAUACACAUUCUUUGUCCUUGGAAAUUCAGUUUAUCCUCCAUCGCUCCUUCUGAUCUGAAACCAAACAUCGUCCUCCCACUCCACUCCCAUGGUGUAGUUGACCAGAGAGUUGAUCAGAAAAGAUUUUCCUGUUCCUGUUUCACCAACAAGUAAAAUGGUUCUGUUUGUCUUCUUCACAUCUUAUUCACCAAGAGUCAUUCUUCUUAGAGUUCCAAUCUUCUCCAAUACUCAAAUCUAGAGUUUAAAAGCACCAAGAUCUAAACAGUGGAUGGUAAACAGUCAAUGUGUGACAGCUUCUGAUUAUUGAUUGAAUCAACUCCAUAUAGAACAUAGCUGCACACAGCUUUACAAUAAAGCGUCAGCUGUCAUACAGGAAGUGAAAGGAGAGGACGUAUUGAAUGAAUAAAGCUGUCUGUAGUCUUAGUGUUCAUGUUAGUUUGUGAUGAAUGUGUUAAGUUCACUUGAGACUUGGACCCCAAAGCAAAGACAAACUCUCUGGUGAGUGGGAACUGAAGAUAUUUUAAUAGAAAUCCAAAAACAAAACCGGAACUAAAGCGGGCAGGGGAAGCAGGGAGCUUGCUGGCAGGAGGAUGUCUUCAGCAGACUCGCACAGGCAAAACUAGACU
rnacentral:lncRNA from 15 species